rnacentral:lncRNA from 1 species
GGGUGUGUUUGAGAUGAAUAUUUUGUCUUGAAAAUGUACAAAACAAGAGUAUUUGAUGCAUCAUCUCGCUAUCAUUUUAUAUAGUAAAGCUACAGGUUGACUUUAUAACAUAAAAAAAAAUCACAGUACUAAAAGAUGAAAUAUAGGGUUAAGUGAAAUACCUAUCCAAUGGAUCACAAAAUCAGAGUAGGUGUGUUCGAAUAGCUAUUUUACUAAAAGUGCUUGACGACAGUCUUUAAGUUGGAUCGCUGAAAAAAAAAUUAUCUUCCGUUUCUACGAUUGUGAAAAUAACUGUGUAAUAGGAAGAUAAUUUAGACGAAGUAGAAUCCUGUCUGUAUUGUAUAUUUACAGGUAAGGAAACAUGUGAUGUUUUAAAAUUUAGUGUCCUUAACCUCCAACAUAACGUCCAAUAAAAUUUAAGUAUGAUGUAUACAAGCUGAAGCCCCGCCUAUCUUAAUUACCAUGCUUGAGCAAACAUUGAUACAAACAAAGCAAGCAAGCCAAACAAAGAUUUGUCUUGCUAGCAUUAAUGUAAAAGCUGUAAUAGUA